AUGUGGCCCGCGAGUAGAGGCGAAGAGACGGCGGGCCAGGCGGCGGAGGUGCUCGCGGUACACGUAGGCAGUGAUGAUGCCGCCGCCCAUGAGAAGAGGCCCUUUGCCCGCUCGAGAGGCCGUGCGGGCGACGGCGCGGCCGGCGGCGACGGCGAGGGCGGCAGCGCUGACGAAAACCCUAGCCAUGUCUCGCGUCUCGCUCGUGUGGGAGGGAAGGGAUGGAGCUGGCUGUGGGAGGAACAGGUGAAAGUGGGGGGGGAUUCCGAGAGUGGGAGGGGCGUGCGUGUGUUGUGUGAUUGUGGUGGUGUUUGGUUUUCUAGUCACAGGACUUUUUUCCAGUCCUAG
rnacentral:rRNA from 1 species